rnacentral:rRNA from 1 species
UACGUAGGGGGCAAGCGUUGUCCGGAAUCAUUGGGCGUAAAGAGCGUGUAGGCGGCCCGAUAAGUCCGCUGUGAAAGUCCAGGGCUCAACCCUGGAAUGCCGGUGGAUACUGUCGGGCUUGAGUCCGGAAGGGGCGAGUGGAAUUCCUGGUGUAGCGGUGAAAUGCGCAGAUAUCAGGAGGAACACCGGUGGCGAAGGCGGUUCUCUGGGCAUUACCUGACGCUGAGGAGCGAAAGCGUGGGGAGCAAACAGG